GCAGUCGAACGGUGAAGCCCAGCUUGCUGGGUGGAUCAGUGGCGAACGGGUGAGUAACACGUGAGCAACCUGCCCCUGACUCUGGGAUAAGCGCUGGAAACGGCGUCUAAUACUGGAUACGAGACGUGAUCGCAUGGUCAACGUUUGGAAAGAUUUUUCGGUUGGGGAUGGGCUCGCGGCCUAUCAGCUUGUUGGUGAGGUAAUGGCUCACCAAGGCGUCGACGGGUAGCCGGCCUGAGAGGGUGACCGGCCACACUGGGACUGAGACACGGCCCAGACUCCUACGGGAGGCAGCAGUGGGGAAUAUUGCACAAUGGGCGCAAGCCUGAUGCAGCAACGCCGCGUGAGGGAUGACGGCCUUCGGGUUGUAAACCUCUUUUAGCAGGGAAGAAGCGAGAGUGACGGUACCUGCAGAAAAAGCACCGGCUAACUACGUGCCAGCAGCCGCGGUAAUACGUAGGGUGCAAGCGUUAUCCGGAAUUAUUGGGCGUAAAGAGCUCGUAGGCGGUUUGUCGCGUCUGCUGUGAAAUCUGGGGGCUCAACCCCCAGCCUGCAGUGGGUACGGGCAGACUAGAGUGCGGUAGGGGAGAUUGGAAUUCCUGGUGUAGCGGUGGAAUGCGCAGAUAUCAGGAGGAACACCGAUGGCGAAGGCAGAUCUCUGGGCCGUAACUGACGCUGAGGAGCGAAAGGGUGGGGAGCAAACAGGCUUAGAUACCCUGGUAGUCCACCCCGUAAACGUUGGGAACUAGUUGUGGGGUCCAUUCCACGGAUUCCGUGACGCAGCUAACGCAUUAAGUUCCCCGCCUGGGGAGUACGGCCGCAAGGCUAAAACUCAAAGGAAUUGACGGGGACCCGCACAAGCGGCGGAGCAUGCGGAUUAAUUCGAUGCAACGCGAAGAACCUUACCAAGGCUUGACAUAUACGAGAACGGGCCAGAAAUGGUCAACUCUUUGGACACUCGUAAACAGGUGGUGCAUGGUUGUCGUCAGCUCGUGUCGUGAGAUGUUGGGUUAAGUCCCGCAACGAGCGCACCCUCGUUCUAUGUUGCCAGCACGUAAUGGUGGGAACUCAUGGGAUACUGCCGGGGUCACUCGGAGGAAGGUGGGAUGACGUCAAUCAUCUGCCCCUUAUGUCUGGGCUUCMNCCUGCUACAUGGCCGNACAUGGGCUGCAUWCCGUGAGGGGANGAAUCCAAAAGCCGUCCAGUUCGGAUGAGG
rnacentral:rRNA from 1 species